UAUAUGUCUUUUAGCAACACAAGAAAAACAUUAUCCUAACAAUAUAGGCAAUUGAAGACAGUUUUUCUUCCUGUGGUUGUCUUUCUCUCAGUUGAUUUCUAUCUUGCCUUCUUCUUGACUUUUCUAAGAGUCUUCCAGUUGUUCCAGUCAAUGUAAGUUCAUUUCUGUUUAAAA